GGAGGAGGGGAGGAGCGCCGGGGCCGCCAGCCCCCGGCCGCGGCGCGGAGGCUGCGGGAGAGCAAGCCGCAGGGUGGAUCGGAAGACCGGAGGACGGCGGACCGUGACCUCCAGCGAGGCUGCCUGAGCCGGAGCCCGCGCACCGCCCCGCCGGUCCCGGGCAUGGGCGAUCGCGGCGCACAGCACGAGCGCGCGGCCCUGCAGUCCCCGGGGGCCCCCGAGGGCGCCGCGGCUGCCGUGAACGGGCUGCUGCACAACGGCUUCCACCCGCCGGCCGCCUGCAGCCGAGACCCGCCGCCCCCACGCUUCCAGCUCCCGCCCGAGCUGCAGCCGCAGCAGCAGCCGCUGUUCGCCC
rnacentral:lncRNA from 1 species